GUAGGUUUAGAUAAUGAUGUUAUUAUAUUUUCUUUCGAAAAUGGUUUUUGGAAGAAAUUUCGUAAUUAAUAUGAUUGUUUAUGAAAGUAAAAAAUAUUAAAAAAAGGAAGAUCUAAGUUCGGGUAUAACCACACAUUUCAUACUCUUUUAACUUUAAAGUUUUGAAGACAGGAAAGUACUUAAGGUAUAUAAGGAAUUUUAAAUUUGGAACGACUUCGGCGUCGUUUUUUUAGCUUCGACUCGUUUUUACUUUGCAUUCCGACGAUUGUUGACUUGUUUGCAUGUCAAAGUCAUAGACCCAUGUCUCAGCGGUAGUUAUAAUGCUCUCCAUAAAGGUGGCAUUAGAACCUUUUGAAAAAAUUUCAGCUUUAUCAUGAAGAGUUGAGCAAGAACACGUUUCAUACUCAAAUAUCCAUCAAAAUUAUUCAAACAGACUCGCGGGAGUUGUCGAGCGCUCUUGCCAUCUUUCUAGCACUUGACUGACGAUUCUUAAGCACCACAUUCUUCACUUUUUUAAUAUUUUAUCUUUUGAAAAGGUCGAAGGUCGUCCAGAACGUGAUGUUUUCAACGAUCUCUCGACCGUGUUUGAAAGCUUUGGAACAUCCCUUAGCCCUCAUACACUUAAUAUAAACAUUUUCUAACUUGCGGGUGACUAUACCGCAUAAAUCGGUUAAUAUUUGAUUUAUAAUUAUUAUAUAUAUAUUAUAAAUAGAAAUCGUAUUAUAUUAUAAAUUGAGAGAGCGUGUUUUUCUAAUAAAAGAGCACCUUUGUGCUGAGAUUAAAUAAAAUCGGCUGAAAACUAGCUCUAGACCCCUUAUAACUAACAAGCUUUAUGUAUCUGACGGUAUUACCUCGGCUUUAAUCCACUAAACUAAACCAUUCCUUACUUGUUAAUAUUAAUAUCACUAGCCUUUAAUGAGAGGCCUUCCUUUCUAUUUUUAUGGGUUUACGGAUUUCAAAAAAUCGAUUUUUUUAUUAUCUUAUUAAAUUCUACAACACCUCUAGAAUAUUGUCUUAAAUUUUCAGUUGAACCGAGUACGAGUAAUAUUUUCGGAGAUACAACCUAGCUAGGCUAAGUGCGCCGCCUCUUAAAAAAAAAUGUUUUUUUUUUUUUUUUUUUUUUUUUUUUAAAGUGUCACACUGGUAUAGCCCCUUAAAGCGUUUCUCGACACUGUGUUUUUAAAGCCGGUUGCCAAGAUUUCUCGAGAACUACUCAACCGAUCUUCAUGAAAUUUUACGCAGUUCUUUGACAUACAAUUCUUAAACACUUGGACGAAGGAUUUUUUUCGACCACAACUGUUAAAAAAAAUGUAGCAAAUUUUCACUGAAAUUUUAAUUUUUUUGUAAAAAUGUCUGCCAAAAAUCCAAUUUUAAAUUUUUUUCGUAGGUCCAACUUCUAAGUUAAGGUUUUAACUAAAACACGUAUUUUUUCACUUUAGAUGAUACUGUAAGGAGUUAUCCUGCCAACGUGGGUGCAUGUUUUUUUCGAGGGAUCAUCGGAAAUGGUGUCGCAAUGAUCGAGUUAAAAUUUUUUUUUUUUUCAAAUUUUCAGAAUUUCUUUGUUAAUAGUAUAUGUUUGUAACAAUAAAAAAUUCUAAUAAAAUAUUUCAUUUUUUAUAUGAGAAAAAAAUUGUUGAAAAAACGCUCUUUUUUACCCGAGGAAACCCACGUAACCUCUUAAGUGAUAAACAUUUUUUGAACUCAAAUUCGUAAUCGGCACACCUCAAAUACUUCACAGACCACUAAGCACAUCAGUCGCAAAUUUUUCUUUCAGAUUUGUUGAGUAGUGUAUUCUAUAUUUGAUUUAUUUUAUUAUAAGUUUACUUUUUUACUCGUUUAUUUUUUUUUUUU